rnacentral:rRNA from 1 species
UACGUAGGGGGCGAGCGUUGUCCGGAAUUAUUGGGCGUAAAGAGCUUGUAGGCGGUUUGUCGCGUCUGCCGUGAAAAUCCGAGGCUCAACCUCGGACUUGCGGUGGGUACGGGCAGACUAGAGUGUGGUAGGGGAGACUGGAAUUCCUGGUGUAGCGGUGAAAUGCGCAGAUAUCAGGAGGAACACCGAUGGCGAAGGCAGGUCUCUGGGCCACUACUGACGCUGAGAAGCGAAAGCAUGGGGAGCGAACAGG